UGCCCGAUCGUCUAAUGGUAGGACAGCACCCUUUGGAGGUGUUUAUUGAGGUUCGAAUCCUUGUCGGGCAA
rnacentral:tRNA from 2 species